rnacentral:rRNA from 1 species
AGGGAAUCUUCCACAAUGGACGCAAGUCUGAUGGAGCAACGCCGCGUGAGUGAAGAAGGCUUUCGGGUCGUAAAACUCUGUUAUUGAAGAAGAACGUGUGUGACAGUAACUGGUCAUGCAGUGACGGUAUUCAAUCAGAAAGUCACGGCUAACUACGUGCCAGCAGCCGCGGUAAUACGUAGGUGGCAAGCGUUGUCCGGAUUUAUUGGGCGUAAAGCGAGUGCAGGCGGUCUUUUAAGUCUGAUGUGAAAGCCUUCGGCUUAACCGAAGAAGGGCAUCGGAAACUGGGAGACUUGAGUGCAG